rnacentral:rRNA from 1 species
GACGAACGCUGGCGGCGUGCUUAACACAUGCAAGUCGAACGGAAAGGCCCUGCUUUUGUGGGGUGCUCGAGUGGCGAACGGGUGAGUAACACGUGAGUAACCUGCCCUUGACUUUGGGAUAACUUCAGGAAACUGGGGCUAAUACCGGAUAGGAGCUCCUGCUGCAUGGUGGGGGUUGGAAAGCUUCGGCGGAUGGGGAUGGACUCGCGGCUUAUCAGCUUGUUGGUGGGGUAGUGGCUUACCAAGGCUUUGACGGGUAGCCGGCCUGAGAGGGUGACCGGCCACAUUGGGACUGAGAGACGGCCCAGACGCCUACGGUGGGCAGCAGUGGGGAGUAUUGCACAAUGGGCGGAAGCCUGAUGCAGCAACGCCGCGUGCGGAAUGACGGCCUUCGGGUUGUAAACCGCUUUCACCUGUGACGAUGCGUGAGUGACGGUAAUGGGUAAAGAAGCACCGGCUAACUACGUG